rnacentral:pre_miRNA from 14 species
UUCCAUUGUGUAAAUGUACCCCAUUUUAUGUAUCCAUUCUGAAAGACCCCUAUAGCAGGGAGACCCUCACUCAAGUCUCGGGAUGACACAACCACCUAAGAACUCAUGUAAAAAU